UGGUGCCAAACUCACGCUCCACCGAGCCGCUCCGAAGAGCAAAACGCACCCCUGUGCCGCCACUAUUCUAUCACCGGUGGUCGCGGUGUCGGAACUAGUUCCUCAGUACAAGUCGACAGGGCCAACGUAUCAUCCCAUUGGCGGGGCCUAGACUAUAGUCACGUGGAUUUUAAAAAUAAAAAAACAACUUUCCAAAUUAAAGUCAUAAUCAUACUCCCAUCAGUAAAGCAUAUAACAAUUUAUGAAAUUUAAAUAUUUAAUUUUAAAUCUAACACAUAAUGCCAAUAAUAAAUCAUAACAUCAACAUAUGCAAGAUACAUGUUAAAAUUCUACUUUAAAGCAAUAGGUCACCUACCUGGGCUCGCUUAAAAAUUCCUGCCACAGAUAUCACGAACCCCUGGUUAAACAUAAAUAUUAAUUAUUUAAUUAACUAAGAAACAUAAUUUAAACAAUUUUUCAAACCCUUAAACUCCUAAGUUCAUAGAUCCAAGAAUGGGCCCCUAAGAUCAAACGUAGACCCUAAAAUCAGAAUCCUUUAAACCCAAGUCAAUUGUGGCCCAAAACAGAUUAGGCCCAAUUGAACCAAACCGGAUAACAGGUCCAGAUCAGAUUUCGGGCCCAACCCAAACCAGCCCACAGAUCCAAUCAGGC
rnacentral:lncRNA from 1 species